GGGAUUGCCUCAGUAACGGCGAGUGAAGCGGCAACAGCUCAAAUUUGAAAUCUGGCCCUUUCGGGGUCCGAGUUGUAAUUUGUAGAGAGUGUUUCGGGCGAGGCCGCGGUCUAAGUCAGUUGGAACAUUGUGUCAGAGAGGGUGAGAAUCCCGUAUGUGACCGCGGCUCGAGUCCAUGUGAAGCCUCUUCGACGAGUCGAGUUGUUUGGGAAUGCAGCUCAAAAUGGGUGGUAAAUUUCAUCUAAAGCUAAAUACUGGCUGGAGACCGAUAGCGCACAAGUAGAGUGAUCGAAAGAUGAAAAGCACUUUGGAAAGAGAGUUAAACAGUACGUGAAAUUGUUGAAAGGGAAGCGCUGGCAACCAGACCUGCUCGCAGGCGAUCAGCCGCUGUUCUCAGCGGUGCACUCGUUCUGCGAUCAGGCCAGCAUCGGUUUCGGCGGUCGGAUAAAGGCCCGGGAAAUGUAGCUCCCUCUCGGGGGAGUGUUAUAGCCCCGGGCGCAAUGCGGCCAGCCGGGACCGAGGACCGCGCUUCGGCUAGGAUGCUGGCGUAAUGGUUGUCAGCGACCCGUCUUGAAACACGGACCAAGGAGUUCAAUAUUUAUGCGAGUGUUUGGGUGUCAAACCCAUACGCGGAAUGAAAGUGAACGGAGGUGAGAACCCUUCCGGGGGCGCAUCAUCGACCGAUCCAGAUGUCUUCGGAUGGAUUUGAGUAUGAGCAGAAAUAUUGUGACCCGAAAGAUGGUGAACUAUGCCUAAAUAGGGUGAAGCCAGAGGAAACUCUGGUGGAGGCUCGCAGCGGUUCUGACGUGCAAAUCGAUCGUCAAAUUCGGGCAUAGGGGUCA
rnacentral:rRNA from 1 species